rnacentral:lncRNA from 1 species
GUCAUAAAAACUCCCAGAAGAAAGGUACCCUCCCUGUACCAGGAGGAAGGAAGACAUUCUUCUCACCAGAGACCAGGAAUUUGCAGCCAAGAUAUCUGUAUAAACAAACCUUAUUAAACUAACCUUUAUCAUCUUAGUUACUAAUUCAUCAUUUACUACCCCUAGGCCAAACCCCUCUGUCUUGUCAAUUCUUCACAAAUGUAUUAUUUUUUGGUCUAAAAGGUGUAAAAGCUCCCCAUUCUGGUCACUUUUUCAGGUCUUCAUUCUCUUGUGAAGGCUCCCAUGUACGUGUAAAAAUUCAAUAAAAUGUGUAUGCUUUUCUUCUGUUAAUCUGUCUUAGUUUAAUGUUCAGACCCAGCCAGGGACCCUAAGAGGGUCAAGGAAGACUUUUUCCUUCCCUAUAAGACAUUGAUUGCAAAGUUCAAUGAGAUCUCCCAGUUACUUUUUUUAUAAAUUAAUGGCUAUCUGAAGGACACUAUUUCUUAAGCAUUGAUCAACAUAAAACUUUUUUUUAAUUACUUCUCUUUUUCUCCAUUAUAGGUCAUAUUGAUGCAGGGUUGGCGAGCUGAAGAGUCAAAAGAAAGUUUUCUUAGACUCAAGGUCUGGCAGCAGUGCUCUUUUAUUCAGAGAAUAGUGUGGAAUAGCAUGGGGACGGGACCCAUGAGCAGUCAGAGCUGCUGCUGCAUGGGGACAGGACCCAUUGGCAGUGAAGAGCUACUGCAAACCUGGGUUGAAGAUGUCAUUAAAUUAAAGAAGUCAAGAUGAGGUCAUCAUGGAUUACGUGGGUGGUCCCUAAAUCCAAUGACAAGUGUCUUUAUAAGAGACAGAAGAGGAGACGACACAGAUGGAAGAGGAGAAGUUCCAUGUGAAGACAGAGGCAAAAAUUGGAGUGAUGCAGCCAUAAGCCAAGGAAUGCCAGGAGCCACCAGAAACUGAGAGAUGCAAACACGGAUUCUCUCCCAUAGCCUUCAGGGGGACCAUGGCCCUGUGGACUUCUGGCCUCCAGACCAAUGGAGAAUAAAUUUCUGUUCUGUUCCUAAAUUACCAAGUUCAUGGUAAUUUGUUAAUGGCAACCCUAGGACACUAAUGCACUCCAUUUUUAAAAAUAGACUUUAUCUUUUAGAACAGCUCAUGAUUGCUAGAAAAAUUGAGAAGCUAGUACAUAGAAUUCCCAUAUACUCUGUACUCAGUUUUCCCUAUUAUUAACAUUUUACAUUAGUAUGGUACAUUUACUACAAUUAAUGAACCAAUAUUGAUAUGUUAUUAUUAAUUAAAGCCCAUAGUUCAUUCAAAUUCCCUUAGUUUUUACCUAAUGUCCUUUUUCUGAUCUGAGAUCUCAUCCAGAAUACCACAUUACACUUUGUCCUGUCUCCUUAGCCUUUUGCAUAUUUUUUGAUUCAGCAAUUCAACAUCCAAGAAUUUACUCUAAGGUAAUAAUCAUAGGUGUAUGUAAAGAUUAAUCCACAAUGAUUUUUACUUAGGCAUUACUUAAAAAUUAUUGAGGAAAACAGUAUGGAGAUUCCUCAAAAAAUUAAAAAUAGAAAUACCUUAUGACCCAGCCAUCCCACUACUGGGUAUCUAUCCAAAGAACUUGAAAUCAGCAAUUCCAAAAGUCCCAC